rnacentral:rRNA from 1 species
GGAAUAUUGCGCAAUGGGCGAAAGCCUGACGCAGCGACGCCGCGUGGGUGAUGAAGGCCUUCGGGUCGUAUAGCCCUGUCGGGAGGGACGAAAUCUUGCCGACCCAAUACGUCGGCAACUUGACGGUACCUCCAAAGGAAGCACCGGCUAACCCCGUGCCAGCAGCCGCGGUAAUACGGAGGGUGCGAGCGUUGUUCGGAAUCACUGGGCGUAAAGCGCGUGUAGGCGGCCUUCUAAGUCCGAUGUGAAAGCCCGGGGCUUACCCCCGGAAGUGCAUUGGAUACUGGGAGGCUGGAGUACCGGAGACGAGGGUGGAAUUCUUGGUGUAGCGGUGAAAUGCGUAGAUAUCAGGAGGAACACCUGUGGCGAAGGCGGCCCUCUUGACGGAUACUGACGCUGAGACGCGAAAGCGUGGGGAGCAAA